GUAUCUUCAGUUUUGUUUUCUUAUCGGGAGAUAAAGAGCUGAUCAAAUGCUGUAGUAUAAAUGAGUGAGCCGAACUGCACGAUUUUUAGUGAGAUUCAAAGAUCUGAAUUAGGAUUGCACAACAGACAGAGCGCCUAAACUUUAUUUCUAGUAAACGUUUGCACCAUGAAUCUCCUGCUCGCAUUCCUCUGUCUCCUUCCCCUCGUUUUGUGUGCAAGCAUACCGGACGGGUCCGCGGUCGACAUCAAAGAGAGGUUCAUAUUCUUCUCUACUUAGGACUGGUUCACAUUUCCUACCUUCGGUACAUUUCCGGAAGUUAAAAAAGAUUUAGGAAUGGCGCAGGACGUCAGAAAAUAAUAGCAGCGACGUGGGAAGCACGUGAUUAAAAGAGUCUUCUUACAGUUAUGUUUUGACCAUACAUAUAACAAAGAAAAUAUUGGGAAAAAGUCCAUGUAUCUUAUGAAGCCAAAAAUAAAAUGUUGUUUAAAUUC